CCGGUUCACAAGUGUAUAUAUAAACGGUUUGAUAAUUCAGACAAGGCACGUCUAUUUAUUCAAUAACUAAAGAAUAACCAUGAAGCUAACGAUAGUAAUCAUCGUUUGUCUUGUGCUGAUAAAUGUCAUUUCCGAGGCCUAUGGAUGUACAUGUUCUGGUGGUACAAAUCAAGAAUUGUUCUGUAGCGCUAAAUUCGUUUCACGAGGAAAGGUUACAGGAAUUAAGAACCUGAGCGCAGAUCAAGUUGAAUACACAGUGGCCGUGAACCAUAAUUUUAAGAUCAAGGUUUCAAACACACUUAAAGUUCGAUCCGCCAGAAGUUCAGCUACGUGUGCGGUCAAUUUUAAGAAAGGAGUUGUAUAUUUGUUGUCAGGAGCUGUAAGUGGUUCAACAUACCAUACAACUAGUUGCCAGUGGAAUCAUAAAUGGCAGGAUAUAAGCUCUGAUACACGAACAAAACUCUUGGGUGGACAAUUUAAUAAUUGUUAGUCGUAAUAUCACAAAGUCUUUUAUCAAAACAUUCUGUCGAAUGCUAUAAUAAUAUAUAACACAAAGUCAUGCAAAAUAGAUAAAUCUUUCAAAAAAGUAUUCAUUUUUUUAUAAAAUAAAAGAUUUUCAAAACUGCAA